rnacentral:lncRNA from 1 species
UGCAGUCAUGCGCUUCAAAUAAACCAAUCUAUACCACACUAUAUGAUACUGUCAUGUUAUAUGGGACAGGAGAAAACUGUUUGCAAGCUGUUUUGAGAACUUCAUACCUAAACGUAACCCCACAAUCUCGUCAAGAGAUUAAUUGAAACACAGAAAAAAAGCGAAAUUGACCUAUAAAUCCAAGUUCCAUUGACAGUAGGUAUUCAAAGAGACAUACAACAGUGACGCUCCAUUUCCACGAGGAGAACAAAAUAAGGCCAUUCCUUCUAAAUAAACAUACUAAGAUACCUCAUUAUUGCAUUCAUCUUCCUAACCCGAUCAUGUACUGGCAACAAGCUCAAGAGACAAGGAAGGAUAAAAGAUUCGAAUCCACACAAAAAAAAGACAUAGUAGAUAAAGCUAAAGGGAAAGUGGCCGGGCACUACUAUCAUCCUCAUCCUCUUUUGUCAAACUCAAAUGAGUUCUAAUAGCCAAAAUGGUCAUCGAGGAAUCAUGGGAUUUGUCAGUUUUUGUCGAGCUUAUCCUCAUCAUUCUUUGUUAUUUGGGAAGCCAAGGAACUCAUGGGGAAGUCUCGAAAAACAAGACGACGUUAAAUACCAACAAUGAAAAAAACACCCUCGGCCCGAAAACUAUCAAAACAAGAAUAAAACAUGAAACUUUAAAAUAACACAAGCUAGAGCAGGGCACCAUCGACCCAAAACGAUCAAAUCACGCAACAUUAAACCCUGAAGCCAACCAUGACAACAUACAAGCAGCUCGAAACGACUAAACAAAAUCAAAAUUUAGCCACGAAACUAGCCUUAACAAUAUACCAGUAACUCAAACCAAAAUCAAAAGCAUGAAACUUUAAAAGACAAACCAGCCUUAACAAAAUACCAGCAACUCAAACAGAAUCGCAGAACAUAAAACUUUAACAUAAAGUCAGCUAUACAAACCUUAAGCAUUUCACAAAAAAUGAGAGUAUUAAAUCAAAAAUCUACCAAAACAACUACCUACGGCUAUCAAAGCCAUCUACCAGCAAACAACCCAGCAUACAAUUAUACUAAAAAAUUUAUUCACGACUAUAGAAGAUCGAGAUGAAGCAGAAACAGAUGAAGCUUAAAUGGAAAAGGGUAUUACCUUUUAGGGAGCAGCAAAAUAGGACUCGAUCUAUCACCCGAUUCGCACCACCGGAGAAAGGCCUAGCAGCUACUUCGAACAAUUUCGACGAGCUUCAAAUUUUUACUAAAAUGAAAGAAUUUAUCGAUUUUGCUCAGAAUGGCUCACUUUUUUCCCCUCUUUAGACCUAGUUUUUCUAAGAACUCCCCCAAUCCAAAUUUUCUCAACCCCCUCGACUUUCGAAUACCUUUGCUUCCAAGAUUUUGAACCUAGAAAGGAGAGGCCAGCCCCCCAAAAAAAAUCUUCCCAAUUUCGAACCGUCAAAAGACCAUCCGAAAUUUCAAACCCCAGAACCUCCAUCCUAGGAAGAAGAGAAAAUCCUCCGAUUUUCCCCGAAUCCAAAAAGGAAGAAGCCAAAAAAAUACCCUUUUUCAGCUCAACAGUGAGCUCUUUAUAUAGAAGUCAAUUGAGGGUAAUUUAGGGAUUCCCUUUCCAAAGAUAAUUCAAAAUUUUUUAACUCCCAAUCGGGUUCCCCUAAUAAAUUGUACCGAUUUCCAAAUCGGUGGACCAAUAAUAUUUAGCCAAAACGGAUUUUCACCAUGAGCCAAUAAAAUUGUGACAUACAUGUACGGAAUCGUACUCCCAUACCUGAGAUUCACGGAAUUGAUACGUUGAGAGGACACCUCGACUUAUUUAUAGAAGAUUCAAGGGUUUUCUUCACAUGAACUUACGUGGGACGCGUGAAGGAGGCUACAAACGGGUUGGUUACGGGGUGUUGGUUGUGAGAAUCGGGUUUAGGGUUGCAGGUGAGGUUGGUUCGUCUUGAAAAUGGGUCGAAGGGUUUAGGUUUUUGUGAUGUUGUCGCGUCUGUUGAGGGUUGGUGUUGUUAUGCUGAAGGGGGAGAUAUAACGGAAUGGGCCGGGUCGGAGGUAGUUUGGGCCUGGGUUGAGACAUAAAAUUGGGCUGGUGAAUGGAGGUGUGGUGCUGGGCUGGGGUAAUUUGAAGAGUGGGCUGGGUCAAGUUUUGAAUGGGCCGCUUGUGGUGGGUUGUUGCAUUGUUGAAAGAAAAUGGGCUGGUUUGGUUGGAAUUGAUAAGAAUUUGGGGGUUAUUUAAAAUAUAACCCCCAAAUAAAAUUUAGGAUUUGGCCAAAAUUAGUCAAUAUUUCAAUCCAAUUAAAAAUUAGAUUGGUCACAUUUCAUUGCAAAUAUGACCAAUUAAUUUUAAUUAGGAUUAAAUUUAAUAGUUUGACUAAAUUGAAUUAAAAUUCAAUAAAUAUCUUUUUUGAUCUCGCGCUUCUUGAUUUAUUAAAAUUACACAAAUAUUUAUCCAAAUAAAUUAAUUUUUGAGAGUAAAAUAACAUUCAAAUAUAAAUUUUAAUCAUUUGAAUUUAUUUUCGAUAUAAUCCUUGAUUAAAAUACGCUAUUCUAUAAAAUAAGCAUUUAAAGAAUAAAAUUAUAAAAUUUCGUAUAAUUGAACACGAUAAUAUAUAAUCACUGCUUAAAAUAUCAAUUUACCCAAAUGAAUACUUUGAAAAUCCUUUAUUUGGAUAAAAUAAAUGUUGUAAUUUUACUUGAAAAUCGAAGAAACCCCGGAUUAAACUUAGUUAUGGAGGUCAAAAAUUAGGUGUCAACCACUGCCCCCGCCCUUUGGGUAGGGUGGAUGCAAGUAACCCUGGGCAAAGGAAGGUUAACGUUACUAAACUUUGUCCGACCACAAAUUGGAAUUCGAAAAAGGUUGACUUUCGCACGAGUUUCAUGGAGUUAUGGCUGAACCUCGGUAUCAGGUUUCCUACAUAUAUCAGGUUACAUGAGAAUUCAGGCCACUUGUAGUUCACAAAGCUUGAUUUUAAGCAUAAUUUUCAAGAAAAUUCACCAACUAUCGCGGUUUUAGAGCUUUUGAUAAAUCUAGAAGCUGGGGAAUAAAAGAAUUUGGGGGGAGGUUGGAAUGCAGUCGAGUUUUCUUCGUAGAGCCCAGCCUACAUAUCCCCGAGACUUUAGGGAAUCAGACUGCUUGUAGUUCGACUCGAGAUAAGUGAAAGAAAGGAAAGUUUACCCUCGAUAUAAGUUUAGCAAUAUCCCGAAGGUAAAGCUGAAACCUGAAUAUCUCAGAGUUCCCACAUGCCUUCUAACAGGGGUGUGGUUGGAUGGUGGUGGUGAUCAUCCUUUAGCUCGCGUCCAAAGAGUUUGACGUCCAUCUUUAGACUAUGUCCCGUUUCGCUGUUAAGAAAGAGUUCCACAUUGUAAUGCGUCCUAUCUGAAGUCUUCUGCACCUGUGGUUUUGAUUUGAGAUUUUCAUCCUCUCGGAUGCUCUCGACAAUGCUUCAAGCAAAAAGUGUUAGUGCUAAACAUAAUUUAUGAAAGAGAUAUAUGGUAUUUUACCAUAUCUCCACGUGAGUUGUGGCCUGAAAAUCAGAGUCAUAUCUUCAUGUACCUAUUUGGUAUAAAAUAACUGGCAAAAACACAACAACCCUUUUGGUUGUUGUAUAAUUAUGACAUUUGUCGGUUGAAUAUGUCUUCAAAGUGGGGUGGCCCUUUUAGACACUGACGAUACUUUAUGCAGAACGGCCACUACAAUCGUGUAAUCUUGUAUUGAUGAGGAAACCUUUUUGGUCACCUAUAAUGCUUGUUGUAUGUGGAAUUAUAACUUCUCCGGUUAUAGCCGAUGAUCGACUUAUAAAUUUUUCUUAAAUUGUCAAUCUUUGGAUAAUCUUGCGUAUUAUUUGAUGUUGGAUACAAGGUGACUUACAGGUAUCUUUUGAAUUUCUAGAUUUUAGGUAAUCCUGCACAUUAUCCGACCUUGGAUAAGAGAUGGCUUACAGAUAUGCCUCCAAUCGCUAGCUUUCAGGUAUUCCUGCACAUCAUCCGACCUUGGACACAAUAUGACUUAUAGAUAAUCUCUCAAAUUGUGUAAUCUUACACAUAAUCGAUCUUAGAUAUGAUGCGACUUAUAGAGAGCCCUUGGACGUAUCAAUUUAAUAUUCUUGCAUAUUCUUCGGUAAGGAUUUAGUUGCGACUUAUGGAUAACCUUUGAACUAUCGAUUUUUGUGUGAUCUUGCACACUAACCAGUUAGGAUGUUGUUGUGGCUAACGGAUGACCUACAUGCUAUCAAAUCAUAGGUGAUCUUGCAUACUAUCCUAUUUCAAAUAAUAUGACUUAUAGAUGACCCUCAAAUUGUCAAUUUCUAGGAAAUCUUAUAUAUCAUUCAUCCUUAGAUAGCGACUUAAAGGUGUCCCUUCAAAUCGUGUGCUCUCGAUGCAUUCAGAUGUUGAUUCAUAAAAUGAUAAGAUAUCCUCGUUGCCAGUAUUAUGUCUUGUGUCUCAACAGAUAUAAAAUAAUGAUGAUAUCCUCGAUGCUAGCGUUGUGUCUUACGUGUCAACAGAUAUAUCGAAUGCUGAUGAUAUCCUUGACACUAGUGUUGUGUCUAGCGCGUCAAUAGAUAUUGAAUAAUGAUGAUAUCCUCGACGCCAGCAUUGUGUCUUGCGUGUUAACAGAUAUAUGAAUGAUGAUGAUAUCCUCAACGCCUGUGUUGUGUCUAGCGUGUCAACAGAUAUAUUGAAUGCUGAUGAUAUCCUCGACGCCAGCAUUGUGUCUAGCGCGUCAACAGAUAUUGAAUGAUGAUGAUAUCCUCAACGCCUGUGUUGUGUCUAGCGUGUCAACAGAUAUAUUGAAUGCUGAUGAUAUCCUCGACGCCAGCAUUGUGUCUAGCGCGUCAACAGAUAUUGAAUGAUGAUGAUAUCCUCAACGCCAGCGUUGUGUCUUACGUGUUAACAGAUAUAUGAAUGAUGAUGAUAUCCUCGAUGCCAGCAUUGUGUCUAGCAUAUCAACAGAUAUAUUUAAUGUUAAUGAUAUCCUCGACGCCAGCAUUGUGUCUAGCGCGUCAACAGAUAUUGAAUAGCCUUCUUAGGUGAUGGUAUAAGAUGGACCUCUUGGCGAUAAUAUGCAAUGGUCCUUUCGACAAUGAUAUACAAUGGCCCUCUCGGCAAUGAUAUGUAAUGGCCCUUUCAACAAAUGACAUGCAAUGACCCUCUCGGCAAUGAUAUGCAAUGGACCUCUUGGCAAUGAUAUUCAAUAACCCUCUCGGCAAUGAUAUUCAAUGACCCUCUUGGCAAUGAUAUGAAAUGGCCCUCUUGGCAAUGAUAUGCAAUGGUCCUCUUGGCAAUGCUAUGCAAUGACCCUCUUGGCAAUGAUAUGAAAUGGGUCUCUUGGCCAAUGAUAUGAAAUGGCUCUCUUGGCAAUGAUAUGCAAUGGUCCUCUUGGCAAUGAUAUACAAUGACCCUUUUGGCAAUGAUAUGAAAUGUCCCUCUUAGCAAUUUAAAAAUAGUUUCACCUGAGUUUGUUUGUCUGCGACUUGCUUUUUACAUGUACCUGUACUUGAAGUAGACGAUUAGUAAACACAAAGUCGAUUUUGAUAGCGACUAUUUUUCAGAAAAAUUCUAAAUACAAUGUUCGUAAAGAAAAAAAGACGUCUUUGUUUGUCCUCCAUGAUCUCAAGAAAUGAGAUGGACAAUUCAAAUGGUCCUCGAUUAAUGGGUAUUAAAUCCAUUUUUGAGCUACCCAAAAAUACCGUUCUUAAGCAUUAUAUGCUCUGGCAUGGCUCCCGACUUGCUCAAGGAUUUUUUGAAAGAAACGCUCAUUUUGUAUAUCAAUCCCUGUAUCUACAAAAAAAUUAUUAGUUUGAAUGAAACUACUCCGUGUUGACCUUCUUCGAUUCUCCAUUUGCUCCACGCCAUCUUUUGGGUACUUUGUCAUGUUGGGACUUUCACCCUUGAAUCCCCGUCCUAAUUGAUGUCAGGCCAAUCAUUAAGUUAAAGACUUUCAUAGAUUUUUGAAAGUUGUCUUAAUUUUUAGAAAAUAGUUUCGAAAACUCCUGCAAAAAUCUAGAAAAUCUCUGCCAGUUAUGUCAUGUGCUAGCUCAACGACCAUCUUUCUCUUGAUUCUGACAAUAUCAUAUAUUUGAUGGAGGAUUGCUGGGGAUUCAGCAUUGUCGAGGCUUUCUACUAGAAGUUUUAUCCUAGACUUUAUCCCAGGUGGUGAUUCUCAAAUCUCAACUUCGACCUCUAGUGCUGGGGAAUUUAAAAUAUAUUUCAGUAUUUGGUGAAAAUUUUAAGGCCUCCCUCAAAAUUUCUGCCCUAGUUUAAAGUAGUCUAAGAUGAUAUCAUUUUGAGUGGAUCUGCAGUCUUUGCUGAUCUUCAUUCUCUUUGUUGGAUGUUGAUCUUCUCUUGUGAAUUUUUGAGAUUCCUUCUCGAAAAUUCUGCCCCAGUUUUCAUUUCCUGGGGUUAUAUGACCGAGCCGUUGGGGCACCUAUGUAUCCCAUUGAAGCAGAAAUCAGGUCAAACGUAGUUCAAGACUACGCUAGGGAUAUAUAUAGAAAAAAUCUAAUGGGUUCACCGAAGCCGUCAUAGACCGCCUACGUAUCCCUUUCUAGGGAAUUCAAGUUAAACGUAGUUUGUAGAUAACGGAAAAGGAUAAAAUUUUCUAAAGGGUUGACCGAAGCCGACAUAGGCCGCCUACGUAUCCCAUUCUUGGAAAUUCAGGUCAAACUUAGUUCGUACAUAAAGGAAAAUGAUUCUAGGCAAUUACACAUCAUAAAAUUGAUACUAUUAUAAAUGCGGUUAUAAAUAAGCCAAGAAAUAAAAACUAUAACAUCUUUCAAGCAUGAUAUAUCUUUACCGCAUCAGAAUUGAUUGGUUUGGUCCACUCUUGACCAUCCAUCUCAUGUAGGAUUAGGGCUCAUCCAGGUUGGGCUUCUUUUGAUUUUCACAUUUCUCUAUAUCUACUACUAACCGCUCCUCAUCACCUUUUCUAUUCAUCAUUAUUUCCUUCGCCUUGUUCGUCUAACCCUUGACAUGACAUGACAUUGAUAGGUUUUUUAAAUUAUUGUUACCAAAAUAAACCAUGCUAGAUAAUCAUAUUUAAAAAAUAACUUCUUAAAUAAAGGGAGGCCUUUUGAAAAAUAAAUAAAAACCAUGGCUUAUGACCCAGACAAAUAUGGGCCAAUGCCUUUUUGAGAGUUGUAAAACACGAAAUAAAAAUUUGAGACAUAAAAUAAUGGAUCACGAGGCCUCCUCCGGAUCAUCACUGAUUUUAAAAACUAUUAGUAAUUUCCCUUUCAUCUACCGCGACGGACGACGAAUUAGGAGCGGAGUGGAAGUCCAAUUUUGUAAAGCCUCUCUUGGUGCAACCUUCUUCAUCCCACCAAACUUUGGGAAAUCAUCUGGUAGAGCAUUUAGAUACUAAUUACUAAAUGCUUCUUCUAUUGGCCUUCGCGCUCUUAGCUUCGCCCAUUUCUUAUAUUGGUGACAUCCAUUGACGUUCAAACUGUGCCUUAGAUGCAACCUCCCAAAUUGAUCAAUUUCUUGCUUAACUUACUUCAGUUCUUCUUACGAAAGUAAGCAAAUCAAGCUUUUUCCCGACCCCCAAAAUAUAAUGGAUUGAAUUAGACAGGAAUAUAUUUUCUUCAACACAUAAGUAUGGUUUGUCUAUAAUUGACUCGAGGUCAAUAUACGCAGGAAAGAUUUUCUAGUAGGCCCAAUACCCCGUUCGAGUAUUAGGUCGUCCUAGGCUCAUGCCUAAAAUAGGGUUUUGAUUUCGUUCUAUCCUAAGUGUCUACAAUGGGUAUGAACCAGGUUCUCAAGCGGACAACUUGAGUUUGAAAAUACAAACAGCCAUCGGAUGACUCAUGUGCUAAUAAGCCAUUUGUAUUUCCAAUACAUUAUUGGAAUUGAACAAUAGGGGCUGGGACAUCCACGAAACCCCAAAACAGUUUAAAUAAUGCAUGAAAAUGCCAUAGGAUGCGAUAGUUGAAAUUUACAAAAUCAAAACAUAUAAACAGUUAAUCAAAAGACAAAAUCAAUCAUUUGGUUAGAACCUAGUUAUAUAUCCCCAGCAGAGUUGCCAUUUCUGUUUUGCGGAGAAAUUUUGACUUUUGAAAGAAUCGCCACUUAAUUUUGGAAAGGAAUUAAGAAACCUUUAUAAAAGUUACCUCAAAUGAUUCAAAAUAGGAAAAUCGUUUUAAUUUAGAGAUUCUAGAUAAGCGGUUCCUAUUAACGUUUUAAGAAGGUGUUACGCACCUAAAACGUCCACUAACUUGCGGUUAUCUGGACUGUUUGAAAAUCAUCUUUGACUAACUUUGGAAAAAAGUUGAUUUCUACAAAGAAAAGCAAUUUUAGUGAUAUUUUAGUAUUUAUGCAAAACCAAUUUUUAGGCGACUUAGUUAGGGAUUUUAACUAAGUUCGCAAAGAAACAUGUAAAUAAGUAAAUGAAAGGAAAAGGGGAGAAAAACGGGGAAUUAGUGAUUUAGGCUUUCAAGCCCAAACCAUCGACCCUUUCCUAAUCUAGUUGGGUUUUCAACCUAUUUCACAUGUCUUAGUCUAGUUUUCGAGCCUUUGGCUCGAGUCUCACUCCACCUGCAUUAAAUUUACAACUUUGGCUUCGAGGCCCAAAUGAAAUAAAGGAGUAAAUAAAUAAACAAAUAAAUAAAAGAUGACAAAAUAAAUAAACAAAUAAAAGAAAAGAAACGUUCUAAUCCCUUGGCCGCUUCAAAGAUGGGAUUUUUAUCCAUUAUUCCUCUUUCGACUUCUCGUAUCCGCAUGCCACGUGCUCAACUUUGGGCUUUCAUUCGGGCUUGACUCGGAAGGAUAGGCCUCAUUGGCUCAUUUAUGAAAUGCAAAGAGAGAAGAAGCCCAUUUGGGCUCCAAGGGGUGUGCAUGCAAAGAAAAGAUAUAUGAAUUAAUACGCGUUCAUAAAAAUGAAUUACUUUUAUAACCAAAAAAAUUCAGAAAGUUCAAAGCUGUUAAAAAAAAAUCACUACUUCGAUACAUAAAAGGAAACUUAGCUACUAGAUUAGUGAUAUAUACGAAAUGCAACUGUGUUUAAUUGGUUUUGAACUUUUAACAUAGAGAUCAAAGAUAACACGCCAUAUUAUGCUGGACUUUGGCAUGAAAGUAUGCAUAUGCAUGAAAGAAUUCUAGUAAAAGGUCACUUUUCCUAAUCGCAUGUGAUGACCAUUAGAUGAGAGCAUAGGACGUAAUGUUGGUUUUGUUUGUUGCAGUAGAGGGAUGCUAUAACAUUUGUUAAAGGACCGUACAUUAAUAGUAAAUCGUAAUCCAUUCCUUUUGACAAAAGGAUAGGUUCCGGUGCUUACUUUUGAGAAGGAAUACACAGAAACUAAGAAAAUUUUAUCAGUUGGCUAUCAAAACACUCAACUGGAAUACAAAACUGAAGAGCUGAAGAUAAUUCCCAAAAAUAGAUACUUAAAUUUAUGCUACAAAUGAACCAAGAUAAGUUCGUUUCACCUCUUUUCUUGUAUGUUGUACAGUAUACAGGACAAUCCAAUCAACAAAAGCAAAGAGGGUCUCACUUAAAUCAAGAACACUAUUAAUUUCCAACACUAAAAUCGAAAUGCAGUCAUGCGCUUCAAAUAAACCAAUCUAUACCACAUUAUAUGAUACUGUCAUGUUAUAUGGGCAGGAGAAAACUGUUUGCAAGCUAUUUUGAGAACUUCAGACCUAAACGUAACCCCACGAUCUAGUCAAGAGAUUGAUUGAAACAUAGAAAAGAAGCAAAAUUGACCUAUAAAUCUAAGUUCCAUUGACAGUAGGUAUUCAAAGAGACAUACAACAGUGACGCUCCAUUUCCACGAGGAGAACAAAAUAAGGCCAUUCCUUCUAAAUAAACAUACUAAGAUACCUCAUUAUGCAUUCAUCUUCCUAACCCGAUCAUGUACUGGCAACAAGCUCAAGAGACAAGGAAGGAUAAAAGAUUUGAAUCCACACAAAAAAGACAUGGCAGAUAAAGCUAAAGGGAAAUUGGCAGGGCACUAUUAUCAUCCUCAUCCUCUUUUGUCAAACUCAAACGAGUUCUAAUAGCCAAAAUGGUCAUCGAGGAAUCAUGGGAUUUGUCAGUUUUUGUCGAGCAUAUCCUCAUCAUUCUUUGUUAUUUGGGAAGCCAAGGAACUCAUGGGGAUGUCUCGACAUACAAGACGACGUUAAAUACCAACAAUGAACAAAACACCCUCGGCCCGAAAACUAUCAAAACAAGAAUAAAACAUGAAACUUUAAAAUAACACAAGCUAGAGCAGGGCACCAACGUUAAACCCUGAAGCCAACCAUGACAACAUACAAGCAGCUCGAAACGACUAAACAAAAUCAAAAUUUAGCCACGAAACUAGCCUUAACAAUAUACCAGUAACUCAAACCAAAAUCAAAAGCAUGAAACUUUAAAAGACAAACCAGCCUUAACAAAAUACCAGCAACUCAAACAGAAUCGCAGAACAUAAAACUUUAACAUAAAGUCAGCUAUACAAACCUAAAGCAUUUCACAAAAAAUGAGAGUAUUAAAUCAAAAAUCUACCAAAACAACUACCUACGGCUAUCAAAGCCAUCUACCAGCAAACAACCCAGCAUACAAUUAUACUAAAAAAUUUAUUCACGACUAUAGAAGAUCGAGAUGAAGCAGAAACAGAUGAAGCUUAAAUGGAAAAGGGUAUUACCUUUUAGGGAGCGGCAAAAUAGGACUAGAGCUAUCACCGGAUUCAUCUCCACCGGAGAAAGGCCUAGCAGCUACUUCGAACAAUUCCGACAAGCUUCAAACUUUUACUAAAAUGAAAGGAUUUAUCGAUUUUGCUCAGAAUGGCUCACUUUUUCCCCCCUCCUUAGACCUAGUUUUCUAAGAACUCCCCUAAUCCAAAUUUUCUCAACCCCCUCGACUUUCGAAUCCCUUUGCUUCCGAGAUUUUGAACCCAGAAAGGAGAGGCCAGUCCCCAAAAAAAAAUCUUCCCAAUUUUGAACCCUCAAAAGACCAUCCAAGAAUUCGAACCCCAGAACCCCCAUCCUAGAAAGAAGAGAAAAUCCCUCGAUUUUCCCCAAAUCCAAAAAGGAAGAAGCCGAAAAAAUCCCCUUUUUUUGCUCAACAGUGAGCUCUUUAUAUAGAAGCCAAUUGAGGGUAAUUUAGGGAUUCCAUUUCCAAAGAGAAUUCAAAAUUUUUUAACUCCCAAUUGCAUUCCCCCAACAAAUUGUACCGAUUUCUAAAUUGGUGGGCCAAUAAGAUUUAGGCAAAACGGAUUUUCACCAUGAGCCAAUAAAAUUGUGACAUAUAUGUACGAAAUCGUACUCCCAUACCUGAGAUUCGCGUAAUUGAUACGUUGAGAGGACACCUCGACUUAUUUGUAGAAGAUUCGAGGGUUUUCUUCGCAUGAACUUGCGUGGGAUGCGUGAAGGAGGCUACAAACGGGUUGGUUACGGGUUGUUGGUUGUGGGAAUCGGGUUUAGGGUCGCAGGUAAGGUUGGUUCGUGUUGAAAAUGGGUCAGCGGGUUAAGGUUGUUGCGGUGUUGUCGCGUCUGUUGAGGGUUGGUGUUGUUAUGCUGAAGGGGGAAAUAUAAGGGAAU